UGCUUAUAUUCGGUCCCUUCUUAUGGCUUC
rnacentral:piRNA from 1 species